rnacentral:rRNA from 1 species
UCGAGUUUGAAGUGGGCCUUUUGAGCUGCAGUCAUAUGUGUGCUCGAGGCCCCGCUCCAAUCCACUCAACCCCUGUGCACUUUCGGAGUGGCGAGUGGGAUCGCAAGGUCUUGCUCGUGGCUUCGUCUCUUAUCACAAACCAGUUUUAUUAUUGUCAUGUAGAACGUGGAUGCCUGCAAAGGCGGAAACUCAAUACAACUUUCAACAACGGAUCUCUUGGCUCUCGCAUCGAUGAAGAACGCAGCGAAAUGCGAUAAGUAAUGUGAAUUGCAGAUUUCAGUGAAUCAUCGAAUCUUUGAACGCACCUUGCGCUCCUGGACUUGUUUCAGGAGCAUGCCUGUUUGAGUGUCAUGAAAUCAUCAACCACGAUGCUUCUUAGUGUCGCUGGCUUGGACUUGGGGAUCUGCUGGCUUGUCAAGAGUCGGCUUCCCUUGAAUGCAUUAGUCGGGUGCCUUGCUCGAGAAGUGUGAUAAUUAUCAUUCACUGAUCGUCGAGGAGCUUUGUCUCGGCUUCUAACCGCAUUGGAAACGAUGCAAUUUUUGACACAUCUGACCUCA